rnacentral:rRNA from 1 species
UACGUAGGGUGCGAGCGUUAAUCGGAAUUACUGGGCGUAAAGUGUGCGCAGGCGGCCGAGCAAGUCGAGUGUGAAAGCCCCCGAGCUUAACUUGGGAACUGCGCUCGAAACUACUUGGCUAGAGUGUGGCAGAGGGAGGUGGAAUUCCACGUGUAGCAGUGAAAUGCGUAGAGAUGUGGAGGAACACCGAUGGCGAAGGCAGCCCCCUGGGCCAAUACUAACGCUCAUGCACGAAAGCGUGGGGAGCAAACAGG